AUGAGUUAAGUAUAAACCCCUUUACAAGUAACAAUUGGAGGGCAAGUCUGGUGCCAGCAGCCGCGGUAAUUCCAGCUCCAAUAGCGUAUAUUAAAGUUGUUGCAGUUAAAAAGCUCGUAGUUGGAUUUCUGUUAGUAAUUUAUAUUAUAAUACAUUAAUAUGUAUAUAAUAUGAUAUUAACACAAUUCAUAUUACUAUAUUACUUAGUAUAUGAAAUUCUACUUUGAGAAAAUUAGAGUGCUUAAAGCAGGCAAUUGCCUUGAAUACUACAGCAUGGAAUAAUAAUAAAAGAUUUUUAUCUUUUUUUUUAUUGGUUCUAAGAUAAAAAUAAUGAUUAAUAGGGACAGUUGGGGGCAUUUGUAUUUAACAGUUAGAGGUGAAAUUCUUAGAUUUGUUAAAGACAAACUAAUGCGAAAGCAUUUGCCAAGGAUGUUUUCAUUAAUCAAGAACGAAAGUUAGGGGAUCGAAGACGAUCAGAUACCGUCGUAGU
rnacentral:rRNA from 1 species